AGUCCCAAACACAUCAUAUAGCUCAGAGGUGACAAUCAGGUACAUCUUUGCAGGAAACUAUCCUGUAAUAACCGGGCAAGCUUCAUACCUGAAGAGCUUAAUCCAGUGCUUGAAAUGUGACUCCCACCAUGAUGAUUUUCUACAAGGAGUUAUCACAAGGGCCCAGAUGACUUUGUCCAAAUGUUCCCUUCAAAGCAAAACCACUCCUGAAUGGCACCGUUGCCCAGUGUUCACAUAUUAGUGUCCCUGUAAUUCGGGGUGCAUCUUACAGCUGGUGACUUCCAUAAUUGUGUUUGGCAGUGGUGGAUCUUUGUGACACGUGGUAUCAUACAGGAGGUUCUUAUAAAAUGCACCUGACAUGGACAGGAAAGAGCUGAGUUGAGUAUGGGGUUAUUAAGCCAAUCAGUGUAUGUUGUACAGGGUACAGUCUUGGGCAACAGGUUGUAAGCACAGCACCAGAAACUUCCUAAUCUAUGAGGAUAUUUUGUAUACUUUCAAGUCUUUAAAAAGAAAACUUAAAUCAAGGCACAGCUGGAAGAUUGUGUGAACUCACCUGAGUCAGAAAGGAUGUACCUACAAAUCACAAAAACAGGCUUAAGUGAACAGAUGGAAUUAUUCUGGGACACAAUGACGAACUGCAAUGAAUAACUUGUUAUCUCUGUGCAAGUAUUUUUGCUAAAUUAGUAAGAUCUGCCAGGGCUACCUUUUAUUGAGCACUUAAUGUAUGCCUAGAUACUGUCCAGAGACCUAUGAAUGGAGACCAAACACUGAACUUGUUGCUCCAGUGGACAGGGACUGCAGUGGAUAUGGCAGUUAUACACUGUGACAUGGAGUGCUUGUCCAGGCAGUAUAUUUAUUAAACAUCACUCUUGAAAUACACUGUCCUCUGCCUAGCCAGGCAUUUUGAUUGGCUUAUUGAUUGGUUCAGUCAUUAUUCUUUUACUUCUAUUCUUUUACCACAGUAUAACUUCUACAUAUAAUACUGAAAUUGGUGAUUCUAGGGAUUCCUACCUUUUGGCUUCCUUAUACAAUUACAAAGUCCACUCCACCCGGCAUAGCAGUUGCUAAAAGCCCAAUGAAUAAUCAGUUUUAAAUUUUCUGUCUGUCAGGUAUAUGUUCAAGACUGCAGUGUGCAAGUAACAUCACAAUUGGUCAAAUCUGAGAAACAACAUAGUUUUUGUUUUUUAAUAUAGUAAAUAAAAAUGUUAAUUCCUGCUGUGCCUAAGAAGUUUGGAACAGGGAGCAGGAAAGAAUUUAAUUUGGAAGAUGACUUCAAUAAGACUUGGGUCAUAAUUUAUGAAUUUUGAAGGGAAUGCAUCAGGCCUCUGUGCUUUUUUUGUGGGACUGUUUACUAGUGAG